rnacentral:lncRNA from 1 species
CUGAACGUUAGGAGUGCGUAAAAAGGAAUCUGAGGAAAUUACUGGAGACAACACUGUAAACACUUUCAGUGAACCUGGCUAAAGUUAGUCUUGCCUGAAAUGUAAUACUGGCAUGGAGAUCUUCAAAUAAGUAAGGACUUACGGUGAAAUCCAUGUCUCCCAAAAUACAUUCUCAGUAAAACGACAUACAUUACAAGAAAUAUCCUGCCUACCAAACUUACUUAAGCUUUCUAAUCUUAACAGAUCAAAUAAUUUUUUUUCCUAUCAAAAAACCUUUAGGAGAAUGCCAUAAAGUGACAUGUAGGCAAAUAUUAAGUCUAUUUUCACAUGCAUUUCUUCUCCUGCUCAAGCUAAUUGUGAGUAAAAUGCAUCCUUAAAGAAAGUUGAUAUUAUCUGUCAUCUUAAGUAACCAACAAUGAAAAAAGGGGCGCCAGCA